CAGUCAAUCAAAAGCAUAAAUUCAUCAAGAGAAUAUAUAGGUGAGCACAAAGUAUUUUACUUGAAAACAUCAUUAUCUAUAUCAUAUGGACAAAACACAUUCUUCUCUUCUGUACAUAACCCAUCAAAAUGCCAUUCCAUUAUUACCUUCUUUCCGACCACCUAAUACCCAUAUGUCAUCAUAAUACAUGCCCAUUUUUUCAAUAUAACCUAAGUUUUCUAAACCAGAAAAUAAGUCCCCACCACUAAUUAAUAUAUUAUAUGAAGGGACUAUUUCCCUUGAUGUCUUUUCUACUAUUUACACAAGA
rnacentral:misc_RNA from 1 species